UGAAUACGGAAAAAGUACUACAAGAAGGAUCUAUGGCCCUCCUCAGCAUCAAUUAAGCAAGCGGAAUACAACCACCUGCCUCUGUUUUAGAAGAUAAAAUGCUAUAAUCCGAGAUGGGACUUGGUGUUGGCCCUAUGCUAGAUCUGAUACUAUUGUAGAGAUACGAAGUCGACUCCCUGAACUUAAUGCUCGAGGAUGCUGACUUACCUGUUUGGAGCUCAAACAAUGGUGUCUAGUCUUGUGCUUCUACUUGAGACCAUCUGAGAAGAAAGAAGCCGACUAUUGAUUGGUGGAAGUUAGUUUGGAACUCCCUCUCAAUCCCUCAACACUCUUUCUUCUUAUGGCUAGUUUUCAAGGAAGCUAUAGUCACCAAAGUUCGUAUGUGUAGCUGGGGGUAUGAAGGAGACAGCCUUUGCUUGUUCUGUCGGGGAUGUCAGGAAAGCCAAGAUCAUCUGUUUUUUCUUAGUAGCUUCAGCCGAAGGAUCUGGGUUUCUCUGAUGGUUGAUUGUUCUCUUCCCAAUCUGCCUGUUGUAUGGGAAAAUGUUGUGCAGUAGAGUUUUUUGAAAAUGUGUGGAAAAGGGUUGAAGGCUAGUCUUGAUAAACUCUGCCUAGGGGCUUGUAUUUACCAUUUGUGGAAGCAAUGAAACGCUUUGCUUCAUGGAAACAACCUGAGAACAGAGGAGGCGAUUCUUAAUCAUAUCAGGUGGGAAUUGAAGACUAGACUCCUUGCUAAGGUUUCUAUCAAGUGAAGGAUGCUGCUUUAAUAUCUCGAUAGAGCCUAUUGUAGUGAUUCUCGUUGUAAUGAUUUAGUGUAGUAGUUUAAUUUGGCCUAGAGGUUACUGCUCUGAAGCAGUGAUUCAUGGUGUUUUCUUCUAUUGGUUAGUGUUGCCGUUUGUUUUGUUUAGCCUAA